UCCGACUAUACGCCGGCAGUCCCCUGUGAGAAUUCAACACAGGGCAGGGGUUGCGCUCGUUGCUGGACUUAACCAAACAGCUCACGCCACGAGCUGACGACAACCAUGCAACACCUGUCUAGCACCCUCGAAGGGGGCUCCUGUUUCCAGGAGCUUGCAGCUAGAUGUCAAGCCUAGGUAAGGUUCUUCGCUCUGCAUCGAAUUAAACCACAUGCUCCACCGCUUGUGCGGGUCCCCGUCAAUUCCUUUGAGUUUUAGCCUUGCGGCCGUACUUCCCAGGCGAGGUACUUAACGCGUUAGCUUACGACUCAGAGCGUGUCGAACGCCCCAAGCCUAGUACCCAUCGUUUACGGCGUGGACUA
rnacentral:misc_RNA from 1 species